rnacentral:rRNA from 1 species
UAAAGAGGUGGCGAGCGUUAAUCGGAAUUACUGGGCGUAAAGCGCACGUAGGUGGCGACGUAAGUCGGGUGUGAAAGCCCCGGGCUCAACCUGGGAAUUGCAUUCGAGACUGCAUUGCUGGAGUACGGAAGAGGAGGGCGGAAUUCCCGGUGUAGCGGUGAAAUGCGUAGAUAUCGGGAGGAACAUCAGUGGCGAAGGCGGCCCUCUGGUCCAGUACUGACACUCAAGUGCGAAAGCGUGGGGAGCAAACAGG